GAUCAGUAGCCGACCUGAGAGGGUGACCGGCCACAUUGGGACUGAGACACGGCCCAAACUCCUACGGGAGGCAGCAGUGGGGAAUAUUGCACAAUGGGGGAAACCCUGAUGCAGCGACGCCGCGUGAGCGAAGAAGUAUUUCGGUAUGUAAAGCUCUAUCAGCAGGGAAGAAGAAAUGACGGUACCUGACUAAGAAGCACCGGCUAAAUACGUGCCAGCAGCCGCGGUAAUACGUAUGGUGCAAGCGUUAUCCGGAUUUACUGGGUGUAAAGGGAGCGCAGGCGGAAGGCUAAGUCUGAUGUGAAAGCCCGGGGCUCAACCCCGGUACUGCAUUGGAAACUGGUCAUCUAGAGUGUCGGAGGGGUAAGUGGAAUUCCUAGUGUAGCGGUGAAAUGCGUAGAUAUUAGGAGGAACACCAGUGGCGAAGGCGGCUUACUGGACGAUAACUGACGCUGAGGCUCGAAAGCGUGGGGAGCAAACAGGAUUAGAAACCCUGGUAGUCCACGCCGAAAACGAUGAAUACUAGGUGUCGGGAAGCACAGCUUUUCGGUGCCGCCGCAAACGCAUUAAGUAUUCCACCUGGGGAGUACGUUCGCAAGAAUGAAACUCAAAGGAU
rnacentral:rRNA from 1 species